CCUACGGGGUGCAGCAGUCGAGAAUCAUUCACAAUGGGGGAAACCCUGAUGGUGCAACGCCGCGUGAGUGAGGAAGUAUUUCGGUAUGUAAAGCUCUAUCAGCAGGGAAUAGAAAAGAAGGUACCUGAAAAAGAAGCCCCGGCUAACUACGUGCCAGCAGCCGCGGUAAUACGUAGGGAGCAAGCGUUAUCCGGAUUUACUGGGUGGAAAGGGAGCGUAGACGGAAAGGCAAGUCAGAGGUGAAAGCCCAAGGCUCAACCAUGGGACUGCUUUUGAAACUGUCAAACUAGAGUACGGGAGAGGUAAGAUGAAUUCCUAGUGUAGCGGUGAAAUGCGUAGAUAUUAGGAGGAACACCAGUGGCGAAGGCGUCUUACUGGACCGAAACUGACGUUGAGGCUCGAAAGCGUGGGGAGCAAACAGGAUUAGAUACCCUUGUAGUC
rnacentral:rRNA from 1 species